GGAGAAAUAUAUCUCAUAUAAAAGUAAACACAAACAUAUUAUAUAAGAAAAAUGUCUUCAUCCAAGCUUCACUUUGUUGUUCUUCUGAUCAUUGUUGCACUUCUUGCUAACAAUGGACAAUCAACUCGAGUAAUGGAUGAUAAGUUUCCAGAAUGCGAAUUCAAAGGACCCUGCCAGAUGAAAAGCGAUUGUUUGGGGACAUGUGGAGGCAAACCUGAAAAUGCUUUGUGUAUACCUAAUCCUAGCGUAGACAGCCUUCAAUGUUGUUGUCUUUCAAACUAAUUUGAUUCAAAUUAUAUUAUACUACUAUUGAAAUAAGCAGUGAUGUUUUAUCAAUAA